rnacentral:rRNA from 1 species
AUUGAACGCUGGCGGCAUGCUUUACACAUGCAAGUCGAACGGUAACAGGUCUUCGGAUGCUGACGAGUGGCGAACGGGUGAGUAAUGCAUCGGAACGUGCCCAGUCGUGGGGGAUAACGCAGCGAAAGCUGCGCUAAUACCGCAUACGAUCUAUGGAUGAAAGCGGGGGACCGUAAGGCCUCGCGCGAUUGGAGCGGCCGAUGUCAGAUUAGGUAGUUGGUGGGGUAAAGGCCCACCAAGCCAACGAUCUGUAGCUGGUCUGAGAGGACGACCAGCCACACUGGGACUGAGACACGGCCCAGACUCCUACGGGAGGCAGCAGUGGGGAAUUUUGGACAAUGGGCGCAAGCCUGAUCCAGCAAUGCCGCGUGCAGGAAGAAGGCCUUCGGGUUGUAAACUGCUUUUGUACGGAACGAAACGGCUCUCUCUAAUACAGAGGGCUAAUGACGGUACCGUAAGAAUAAGCACCGGCUAACUACGUGCCAGCCGCCGCCGUAA